rnacentral:ncRNA from 1 species
GGGCAAAACCGUUGAAAAACGGUGACGCAAAGCUGUGAGUCUACGGCAGAAAACUGCUAUGAUUGUCAGGCUGC